rnacentral:lncRNA from 9 species
AUGUUCUCAAGGUCUCUCUAUUCCCAGGUAUCUCUCCUCUACAGGGCUAAGAGGAGUCCCAGGCUUGAUAACACGCUGAACAAAGACCUGUCAUGGAACAGACUCUUGCUGAGAUUUAAACUGGAGAGUUUGUGGAUGUGGAGCUGGGCCAGGAUACACAGAGAAAUGUGGGGGAAGAGGGAAGUCACUGAGAAGAAUCAAGAGAUCUUGGUGCUGCUUUCAUUUGCUGUGUGAUGCUGAUCAAGCAACAUAUUGUCUUUAGGAAUCCUGUUAUAAAAUUUGUCCAACAGAACCUACCUCGCAGAAUUACAGAGAAGAAAAAGAAGAGGUAAUAUAUGUGAAAUUACCAUGCACAGGAUGGUUUGCUUAUUAUUCUG